rnacentral:rRNA from 1 species
CUUGGUCAUUUAGAGGAAGUAAAAGUCGUAACAAGGUUUCCGUAGGUGAACCUGCGGAAGGAUCAUUAUUGAGAUACAACAUGACAAGUUGUUGCUGGCCUUCACCAUGGGCAAUUGUGCACGCUUGUUAUUUCUCAUUUUCACAUCCUUUGUGCAUCUUCUGUAGAUUUGGUUUAGGACUGCUUAGCAGGAGUUUGAUUUCUCUUGCAGGCUUUCCUUAUUAUUUCAGGUCUAUGUUUUUUUAAAUACUCCAGUUGUAAUUGAAGGGAAAUUGAAUGGCACGUUUGUGUCUUUAAUAAUGCAUAUACAACUUUCAGCAACGGAUCUCUUGGCUCUCGCAUCGAUGAAGAACGCAGCGAAAUGCGAUAAGUAAUGUGAAUUGCAGAAUUCAGUGAAUCAUCGAAUCUUUGAACGCAUCUUGCGCUCCUUGGUAUUCCGAGGAGCAUGCCUGUUUGAGUGUCAUUAUUAUAUCUCAACCAUGUCUAUUUAUUGGAUGUGGCUUGGAUCUGGGACUGUGCAGGCCUUUAUUGGUCUGCUCUCCUAAAAUGAAGAGGGUGAUUUUAGUGUUGAACCCUACAUUAGAUGUGAUAACUAUUUUGCAUCUGUUCUGUAGAGUCUGCAUGAUCUAAACUUGACCUCAAAUCAGGUAGGACUACCCGCUGAACUUAAGCAUAUCAAUAAGCGGAGGA